UACGUAGGGGGCUAGCGUUGUCCGGAAUCAUUGGGCGUAAAGAGCGUGUAGGCGGUCCGGUAAGUCUGCUGUGAAAGUCCAGGGCUCAACCCUGGGAUGCCGGUGGAUACUGUCGGACUAGAGUACGGAAGAGGCGAGUGGAAUUCCCGGUGUAGCGGUGAAAUGCGCAGAUAUCGGGAGGAACACCAAUUGCGAAGGCAGCUCGCUGGGACGUCACUGACGCUGAGACGCGAAAGCGUGGGGAGCAAACAGG
rnacentral:rRNA from 1 species